AGACUUCCUCAGCUUCUUCCUCAUCUUUGAAAGGCUUGGAGUCAGGAAAGGCUCGAGUUGCUCAUUAUACAGCAAGAGUGAGGCAGAAGUGGACUUACUGUGCAGCAUAACUCACCCUGUGCUAGAAGAUGUUCGCAUGCAGAAAGGAACAAGGGGAGUGUUCCCAGCCAGAAGUUCCUAGGAUGCGCAACAACACGGGGAGAGAAAAAAGGGAUACCGGCAGAUUUUAGCCCGGAAGAACAGUCUGGCUGGGGACCGAACCCAGGGCCUUGCGCUUGCUAGAACCUACCUAUGCGUCUGAAGGAGAGAGUCACCACCCGCCCGCAAGCUGGCCUCUGACCUUCACGGAGAAGCCACACCAUGUGCACACUCAAAGAAUAAAAGAAUAAAUGAGGGCUGGAGAGAUGACUCAGCAGCUAAGAGCACUGACUGCUCUUCCAGACGUCCUGAGUUCAAUUCUCAGCAACCACAUGUCGACUCACAACCAUCUGUAAUGGGAUGCGAUGCCCUCUUCUGCUGUGUCUGAAGACAGCGACAGUGUACUCAC
rnacentral:lncRNA from 1 species